UUCGUGUGCAUUUUUGACACUUUCUUCAGUAGCUUGUGUAUAAAGUGUCUUGAAAUAAGGACAGCAAAUUAAAAUUAGCUACUGUUUUCGUCAUGGUAGCGGAAUUUCAAGCUGUUGUUUUUGCUGCUGGCAAAGGAAGUCGUUUCCCGGAGAUCUUGGAGGGAAAACCAAAAUGUUUACUUCCAAUCGGGUCGUACCCUUUGAUUUGGUACCCCUUAAAACUGUUACAACGGCACGGAUUCACAGGCAAUCCAUUAGACGUUUGUUUGACAAUUCAGCGGUGGGUUCUGUCAACAAGUCUACUCCUGCGAACAGAAAAACUCGUCCGACAAAUAACUUUGUUAGUCCGAUUCGUUUGAUGUUGGAUCGAGUCAACGAUAUUGUCGGACGUCGCACCCCUCGGAGUAACGUCAGAAUAAGUAAACAAGAAAUAAUCAGCUGAUCAGAAACGUCUCAUGGAUUGCAUAAUAUCAUGCCAAGGAAAUGUAAUUUAUUAGGUUGCGAUAUUCUGUUGGUUACAUUUAUAUACCUGAAGGCUAGUUUACAGUUUGUAAAACGUAUCAAUAAAAUUACAACCACGGGAUUGGGGUCCCUGUGUAUUUUAAAUAGAGUCUGAGUAGGGAAAUGAGUCUACACAAAAAUGACAGUUUUCACAAAGUGUAAACCUAACCGUGGGAAUCAUCACGGGAUGUUAACUCUCUACACAAAAAUCCGGCCGGGAACAAUUCACCGCCGGGGAAAAUUGUAUUUUUAUUAGGUUUAAAAUUCAGUGCCGGCUAAAUUGCCCGACUUUGUGAUCGACAAAUUUAUAGAUUGCUGCACCGACGCUUAUGAG